ACAUGUCCCCAGCCUCCCAUGACCCUCACACUGACCGGUCCACGGCCCUGAUGAAAGUGGCCAAAUGCUCUCCUGAUCUCACUGUCCAGAAUCCGGUUAGGGACCCAGAAGUAACGGGGGAGGCUGUGAAAUGAGAGCGGUGUUACAGUUUGGCUCAGCAACUUCAUUAAAAUGUAAAGCUGUUAUUACAAGGAAGCUGCUUCGGAGGGACCAUUCUCAGGUUAAGGGUUCUAGGAGAGGGUGUGAAACAGACAUCAUGUGAAGUGCGCAGUGGAGAAGUGUGAAAAGAGAUGGAAAUGUGUCCAAGAUGCAGACCCAAGUACAGGUGCUGAUUCCCGUAUGUGACUCCACCCCUCCAACCCAGACACCAGAUCUCCAAAUGAAUGAUUCAUGUUCAGGACUUCCCAGGUGAGGGCUGGAAACCUCUUCAGCUCAACAGUCCAUCUCCCAUCCCUCCCAUCUGCAACCCAAGAAGCAAAGAUGAGUAAGGAAGGCUGGGAACAAGGACAGAAAUCAAGGAGCUGCAGCUCCUUUAAAGGAGGGGGACUUGGGGACAGCAA